rnacentral:rRNA from 1 species
CCUACGGGAGGCUGCAGUGGGGAAUAUUGGACAAUGGGGGGAACCCUGAUCCAGCCAUGCCGCGUGUGUGAAGAAGGCCCUCGGGUUGUAAAGCACUUUCAGUGAGGAAGAACGCCUGGUGGUUAAUACCCAUCAGGAAAGACAUCACUCACAGAAGAAGCACCGGCUAACUCCGUGCCAGCAGCCGCGGUAAUACGGAGGGUGCGAGCGUUAAUCGGAAUUACUGGGCGUAAAGCGCGCGUAGGUGGCUUGAUAAGCCGGUUGUGAAAGCCCCGGGCUCAACCUGGGAACGGCAUCCGGAACUGUCAAGCUAGAGUGCAGGGGAGGAAGGUAGAAUUCCCGGUUUAGCGGUGAAAUGCGUAGAGAUCGGGAGGAAUACCAGUGGCGAAGGCGGCCUUCUGGACUGACACUGACACUGAGGUGCGAAAGCGUGGGUAGCAAACAGGAUUAGAUACCCUGGUAGUC